rnacentral:rRNA from 1 species
UACAGAGGUGGCAAGCGUUGUUCGGAAUUACUGGGCGUAAAGGGCGCGUAGGCGGUCUUUUAAGUUCCGUGUGAAAUCCCUCGGCUCAACUGGGGAACGGCACGGGAAACUGGAAGGCUUGAGUUCGGGAGAGGGAAGCGGAAUUCCGGGUGUAGCGGUGAAAUGCUUAGAUAUGACAUAGAACACCAAUUGCGAAGGCAGCUUACUACACAGUCAUUGACACUGAGGCACGAAAGCGUGGGGAUCAAACAGG